rnacentral:rRNA from 1 species
AUAGGGCUUCUCCUUCGGGAGCAGAGUGACAGGUGGUGCAUGGUUGUCGUCAGCUCGUGUCGUGAGAUGUUGGGUUAAGUCCCGCAACGAGCGCAACCCUUGAUCUUAGUUGCCAUCAUUUAGUUGGGCACUCUAAGGUGACUGCCGGUGACAAACCGGAGGAAGGUGGGGAUGACGUCAAAUCAUCAUGCCCCUUAUGACCUGGGCUACACACGUGCUACAAUGGACGGUACAAAGAGCU